rnacentral:rRNA from 1 species
CUUAACACAUGCAAGUCGAGGGGCAGCGCGGGGCGGCAACGUCCUGGCGGCGACCGGCGGAAGGGUGCGUAACGCGUGAGCGACAUGCCCGUUGCCCGGGGACAACCGGUGGAAACGCCGACUAAUCCCCGAUGGGACGGAGGCCCUCAUGGGUCUCUGUUGAAAGUUACGGCGGCGACGGAUUGGCUCGCGUCCGAUUAGCUUGUUGGCGGGGUAACGGCCCACCAAGGCUACGAUCAGUAGGGGUUCUGAGAGGAAGGUCCCCCACAUUGGAACUGAGACACGGUCCCAACUCC